GAUGAACGCUAGCGGCAGGCCUAAUACAUGCAAGUCGGACGGGAUCUAUCGGAGAGCUUGCUCGAAGAUAGUGAGAGUGGCGCACGGGUGCGUAACGCGUGAGCAACCUACCCAUAUCAGGGGGAUAGCCCGGAGAAAUCCGGAUUAAGACCGCAUAACACUGUGAUUUGGCAUCAUGUUACAGUUAAAUAUUUAUAGGAUAUGGAUGGGCUCGCGUGACAUUAGCUAGUUGGUGAGGUAACGGCUCACCUAGGCGACGAUGUCUAGGGGCUCUGAGAGGAGAAUCCCCCACACUGGUACUAAGACACGGACCAGUCUCCUACGGGAGGCAGCAGUAAGGAAUAUUGGUCAAUGGGCGGAAGCCUGAACCAGCCAUACCGCGUGCAGGACGACUGCCCUAUGGGUUGUAAACUGCUUUUGUCGAGGAAUAAACCUAUCUACGUGUAGAUAGCUGAACGUACUCGAAGAAUAAGGAUCGGCUAACUCCGUGCCAGCAGCCGCCGUAA
rnacentral:rRNA from 1 species